UACAUUAGAGGUUUUUCGGGGGUGGGUAGAGGGGCUCGUGCGUCAUGAUUCCUGAACCCUGACAGACUGAGCAUGGCUUACACAUUGCAUGCUUUUUCUCACUUUAGUCUCGCGAGUGCUAAUUCCUGUUUCGGGUUUAAUUUAUUUAUUUAUUUUUAUAGGUUUUCAUUGAUGAAGAAAUUGCAGUCUGAGAAUGUCUACGAAUUGUGCGUGAGUUUGCGUGGAUAUGCGUGAUACACUAGAAAAGUCUACACUAGAAAAGCGGACUGGAUUUUGUGCCGGAGUCACAGUCAGACAUUUCACACAAACUGUGCGCUUGUUUCUCGGUCAACAUGAUAACUGAUUAAAACACAAACCGAGACGUUUUCCUUCGCUCGAACACUGUAAGCUCACCUCUCGGCAGAGGUGAGAUGACCGAGGUGCAGCCGGUGUUGGACUUUGCCUCGUCAGGAAGGUCUGGACGACGCAAUGCUCUGCCUGACAUUUUAGGCUCACCAGCAGGGGUUAACCCAUCUGACCUCCCCCUGAAAUUGACUGAACUGUCUCUCACAGCAGAUGGGUCAGGAGGAGUUCAGUCACCAACGUCAGAGGAGGCCUGUCUGCCUGCAGAGAGCUCUGAGAGAAAGGACGAAUCCUAA